rnacentral:rRNA from 1 species
AUUGAACGCUGGCGGCAGGCCUGACACAUGCAAGUCGAGCGGAUGAAGGGAGCUUGCUCCUGGAUUCAGCGGCGGACGGGUGAGUAAUGCCUAGGAAUCUGCCUGGUAGUGGGGGAUAACGUCCGGAAACGGGCGCUAAUACCGCAUACGUCCUGAGGGAGAAAGUGGGGGAUCUUCGGACCUCACGCUAUCAGAUGAGCCUAGGUCGGAUUAGCUAGUUGGUGGGGUAAAGGCCUACCAAGGCGACGAUCCGUAACAGGUCUGAGAGGAUGAUCAGUCACACUGGAACUGAGACACGGUCCAGACUCCUACGGGAGGCAGCAGUGGGGAAUAUUGGACAAUGGGCGAAAGCCUGAUCCAGCCAUGCCGCGUGUGUGAAGAAGGUCUUCGGAUUGUAAAGCACUUUAAGUUGGGAGGAAGGGCAGUAAGUUAAUACCUUGCUGUUUUGACGUUACCAACAGAAUAAGCACCGGCUAACUUCGUG